GUGAGUCAUCGAAUCUUUGAACGCACCUUGCGCCCUCUGGUAUUCCGGAGGGCAUGCCUGUUUGAGUGUCAUGAAGACUCAUCCUUCCAGGUUUUCCUGGGAUGUGGUGGAUUUGGGCGUUUGCCAUUGACCUGGCUCGCCUCAAAAAUCUAAGUGGUCGUUUAGGACGUGAUAAGUUUCGCCCUUGACUGCUCAUAACAUUGUCUGUGUAGACAGACGUUUUCUCUGAUCUGACCUCAAAUCAGGUAGGACUACCCGCUGAACUUAAGCAUAUCAAUAAGCGGAGGA
rnacentral:misc_RNA from 1 species